UCUUGUGUAGCUCAGUUGGUAGAGCAUGGUGCUUGCAACACCAGGGUAAUGGGUUUGAUUCCCACGGGGGAC
rnacentral:tRNA from 1 species